UCAUCAAAUAAACAUCAAAAUAGUUGGAGUAAUAGUCUCAAACAUUGAAAGUAACUCAAAGCAAUAAUCAACGUAAUACAAAACAAGUCUCAUAAACUUAGGAACAAAUAAUCUAUGGAAGCAUCCAAAACAUCAUGGUAAAAUACCAAUAGAAGUCUACCACAUUACCUUAUUCCCAAAAAAAACAAAAAACAAAAGCACCUACGAAAUCACGAAAAUGGACUUACUUGGAUCACCCCUCGGGACCACACCGUUCACA
rnacentral:lncRNA from 1 species